AUUGAACGCUGGCGGCAUGCCUAACACAUGCAAGUCGAGCGAACGGCGGACUGGUGAGUAAUGUAUUGGGACCUGCCCGAUAUAGGGGGAUAACUGCUGGAAACGGUGGCUAAUACCGCAUACUAUCGUAUGGACCCAUAUGGGAUUAGCUAGUAGGUGGGGUAAAGGCGCACCUAGGCGACGAUCCCUAGCUGGUCUGAGAGGAUGAUCAGCCACACUGGGACUGAGACACGGCCCAGACUCCUACGGGAGGCAGCAGUGGGGAAUAUUGCACAAUGGGCGAAAGCCUGAUGCAGCCAUGCCGCGUGAAUGAAGAAGGCCUUCGGGUUGUAAAGUACUUUCAGCGGGGAGGCGUUACCCGCAGAAGAAGCACCGGCUAACUCCGUGCCAGCAGCCGCGGUAAUAC
rnacentral:rRNA from 1 species